rnacentral:rRNA from 1 species
AGAGAGAGACAUGCGCGCAUAUCAAUAAGCGGAGGAAAAGAAACUAACUAAGGAUUCCCUCAGUAACGGCGAGUGAAGCGGGAAGAGCUCAAAUUUGAAAUCUUCAAGGUUCUACCUUGACGAAUUGUAGUUUAAAGAAGUGUUUUCUGUUGAAGUUUUGGUAAAAGUUCUUUGGAAUAGGACAUCAUAGAGGGUGAGAAUCCCGUAUUUGACCAUUAUUUCCAGCUUUGUGAUACACUUUCAAAGAGUCGGAUUGUUUGGGAAUGCAGUCCAAAAUGGGUGGUAAAUUUCAUCUAAAGCUAAAUAUUGGCGAGAGACCGAUAGCGAACAAGUACCGUGAGGGAAAGAUGAAAAGAACUUUGAAAAGAGAGUUAAACAGUACGUGAAAUUGUCAAAAGGGAAGCGUUUGACACCAGUGUUGUUUUCUCGAAAAUCAAUUAAAAAAGGCAGGAUUUUGUGUUGUAUUGACUUUAUCAGCUUUCUGCACUCUUUUCUUGUCUUUUUUAUGCACUUUUCGUUUAACAAGUCAACAUCAAUUUCUUUUGUUGUAAAAGGGUCAUUGGAAGGUGGCUUUCUUUUCGGAGAAAGUGUUUAUAGCCUUUGGCCUCUGCAAUCGGAGAGAUUGAGGUCUGCAGCGUAGAUCCUUCGGGGUUAGAUACAUUUGUGCUAAGUUAUAGCCUUUCAUAGACAACUUGUUGACUAUGAUCAGUCAUGUAGCUUACUCGCUUAUGCUAUUUUACCUACGCUUAGGAUGUUGAUGUGAUACUGCGAGCA